rnacentral:rRNA from 1 species
UGGGGAAUUUUGGACAAUGGGCGAAAGCCUGAUCCAGCAAUGCCGCGUGUGUGAAGAAGGCCUUCGGGUUGUAAAGCACUUUUGUCCGGAAAGAAAUCCUUGGCUCUAAUACAGUCGGGGAAUGACGGUACCGGAAGAAUAAGCACCGGCUAACUACGUGCCAGCAGCCGCGGUAAUACGUAGGGUGCAAGCGUUAAUCGGAAUUACUGGGCGUAAAGCGUGCGCAGGCGGUUUGCUAAGACCGAUGUGAAAUCCCCGGGCUCAACCUGGGAACUGCAUUGGUGACUGGCAGGCUAGAGUAUGGCAGAGGGGGGUAGAAUUCCACGUGUAGCAGUGAAAUGCGUAGAGAUGUGGAGGAAUACCGAUGGCGAAGGCAGCCCCCUGGGCCAAUACUGACGCUCAUGCACGAAAGCGUGGGGAGCAAACAGGAUUAGAUACCCUGGUAGUCCACGCCCUAAACGAUGUCAACUAGUUGUUGGGGAUUCAUUUCCUUAGUAACGUAGCUAACGCGUGAAGUUGACCGCCUGGGGAGUACGGUCGCAAGAUUAAAACUUAAAUGAAUUGACGGGGUCAUAGCUGUUUCCU